rnacentral:rRNA from 1 species
UAAGGGCGCACGGUGGAUGCCUUGGCACUAGAAGCCGAUGAAGGACGUUACUAACGACGAUAUGCUUUGGGGAGCUGUAAGUAAGCUUUGAUCCAGAGAUUUCCGAAUGGGGAAACCCAGCAUGAGUUAUGUCAUGUUAUCGAUAUGUGAAUACAUAGCAUAUCAGAAGGCACACCCGGAGAACUGAAACAUCUUAGUACCCGGAGGAAGAGAAAGAAAAUUCGAUUCCCUUAGUAGCGGCGAGCGAAACGGGAAGAGCCCAAACCAACAAGCUUGCUUGUUGGGGUUGUAGGACACUCUAUACGGAGUUACAAAGGACGACAUUAGACGAAUCAUCUGGAAAGAUGAAUCAAAGAAGGUAAUAAUCCUGUAGUCGAAAAUGUUGUCUCUCUUGAGUGGAUCCUGAGUACGACGGAGCACGUGAAAUUCCGUCGGAAUCUGGGAGGACCAUCUCCUAAGGCUAAAUACUCUCUAGUGACCGAUAGUGAACCAGUACCGUGAGGGAAAGGUGAAAAGCACCCCGGAAGGGGAGUGAAAUAGAACCUGAAACCGUGUGCUUACAAGUAGUCAGAGCCCGUUAAUGGGUGAUGGCGUGCCUUUUGUAGAAUGAACCGGCGAGUUACGAUUUGAUGCAAGGUUAAGCAGUAAAUGUGGAGCCGUAGCGAAAGCGAGUCUGAAUAGGGCGUUUAGUAUUUGGUCGUAGACCCGAAACCAGGUGAUCUACCCUUGGUCAGGUUGAAGUUCAGGUAACACUGAAUGGAGGACCGAACCGACUUACGUUGAAAAGUGAGCGGAUGAACUGAGGGUAGCGGAGAAAUUCCAAUCGAACCUGGAGAUAGCUGGUUCUCUCCGAAAUAGCUUUAGGGCUAGCCUCAAGUGAUGAUUAUUGGAGGUAGAGCACUGUUUGGACGAGGGGCCCCUCUCGGGUUACCGAAUUCAGACAAACUCCGAAUGCCAAUUAAUUUAACUUGGGAGUCAGAACAUGGGUGAUAAGGUCCGUGUUCGAAAGGGAAACAGCCCAGACCACCAGCUAAGGUCCCAAAAUAUAUGUUAAGUGGAAAAGGAUGUGGCGUUGCCCAGACAACUAGGAUGUUGGCUUAGAAGCAGCCAUCAUUUAAAGAGUGCGUAAUAGCUCACUAGUCGAGUGACACUGCGCCGAAAAUGUACCGGGGCUAAA